rnacentral:rRNA from 1 species
AACGCUGGCGGCGUGCCUAACACAUGCAAGUCAACUUGACUGAAGGAGCAAUCUGACAGUAGAGUGGCGCAAGGGUGCGUAACGCGUAAGUAACUUGCCCAAGGUAAGGAAUAACGUCGAGAAAUCGGCGCUAAUACCUCAUAAUGCAGCGGAUCCGCAUGGAUAUGGUGUUAAAGGUUUACCGCCUUGGGAUAGGCUUGCGUCUGAUUAGUUAGUUGGUGUGGUAACGGCACACCAAGGCUACGAUCAGUAACUGGUCUGAGAGGAUGAUCAGUCACACUGGAACUGAGACACGGUCCAGACUCCUACGGGAGGCAGCAGUGAGGAAUAUUGGGCAAUGCUCGAAAGAGUGACCCAGCAACGCCGCGUGGAGGAUGAAGGUAUUCUAUAUCGUAAACUCCUGUGAGAGCAGACGAAAGACAGAUUAUUAAUCUGGAUGACUGUAUGCUCAGAGGAAGCCCCGGCUAACUACGUG